CACUGUAAAAAAUGAAUCCUGGUGCCACGGAUAUUACACAGAAAAAAUCAAGUAUGUCUUGAUUUCCUUAAGUAAUGACCUUAAAAGAAUAAUGACUAUGUAUUUUCCCAAAUAAAUCAACUACAUUUACGAGAAAAAAAUGCAGAGAAAGUGCUCCCUAAAAUAAUUGCGGCAAGUUGCACAAUUUCUCGCAAGUAAAUGUGCAGCCCCUUUUCCUUAAAUAUUUCAAACAUCCUAACUGCCACUUCACAAGCCGUUCACUCUCCACACACACCGCGACUGGAUUUGAAGGCUCAUGCAGGUCGUCUGUCAACAUCGGCAAAAUCUACUAAUCGAGACUUCCUCUAUUGACAGAAGCAGAGAGAUGGUUUUGCAAGGGCUGAUUCGAUACCUGUGUGAGAAACCAGGAGACUUAAUCCAGGAGUACAGUUGAGAGGCAGCGGUUCAAGAAGACUUCAUCAGACCUCAAUCCAACAGAACACCUUUGGGAUGAAUCAGUGGAAACUGAGAGCCAGUCUCCUCAUCCAACAUCAGUGUGUGACCUCACAAAUACGCUUCUGGAAGAAUGGUCGAAAAUUCAAAUGAACACACUCCUAAACCUUGUGGAAAGCCUUCCCAGAAGAAUAGAAACUUUUAUACUGUAGCUGCAAAGGGUGGACCAACGUCAUAUGGAUUAAGAAUGGGAUGUCACUCAAGUUCAUAUGCGAGUCAAGGAAGGCAACUCAGUACUUUGGCCAAUAUAGGCUAGUGU